ACGCUCGACACCUACGGAAGGCAGCAGUGGGGAAUAUUGGGCAAUGGGCGAAAGCCUGACCCAGCAACGCCGCGUGAGGGAAGAAGGUUUUCGGAUUGUAAACCUCUGUCCUCAGGGACGAAGGACGUGACGGUACCUGAGGAGGAAGCCCCGGCUAACUACGUGCCAGCAGCCGCGGUAAUCUGAGCGGGCUGGCAAGGC
rnacentral:rRNA from 1 species